AGAUAUUAAAUCCGACAGAUCCGAAUCCGAGUAUCCUAAAUUUCCCGCAUAUUCGGAUCAGUUUCAGGCCUAAUGGAUAUAAUAAGAAACAGCUAAUAUAAUUUAUCACUUUGAUUUGUUUAUCGACAUAGAUACAUUAUUUACAAGUUCACACAUAUCUUAUACAGUAAAAUUGGCUUGGGUCUCUCCUCAUUAAGCCACAUCAUCAUGUGGGGGGGGGGAGGGGGGGCUUUUCGCGACACGUCAGCACUUCUCACAUGCAUUUAAAAUCUAAUUACGGUCUCUCGUUUGGGCUUCGUCAAGGGCUUGGUUGUUUGUGCUUAGCUUAUGGUUACUUAUGUUGGGCUUUGUCUAAUUUUAGCCCAUUGCAACCACCCUUCUUCUUCUACGCCGCAUCGUGAAAUCCUAAUAUUUUCUUCAUCAUCAUAACACGAGAUCAAGUAACGGAAUCACGAUUUAUGUUCAAGCCAUAAACACAUCAUUUAAUCUCAGUAAAUUAUCCCCCCCCCCCACCCCAACUACUCCUCAAUUCACCAGAACCUUCGAUCUCUUCGGAUUCUUCAGGAUUUGGAUCAUAUAAAUAGGCGUUCUUUAGGAGAUAUAUACAUUUGUAAGAGAAGUUGAUUGUGAACAAAUUCUUUCCUUGGCAGCGAUGCAACUGUGUGCGUCAGAGCUGAGCUAUUCCACAAGAGGCUGAAGGCUGGUGUUGUCCAACCUAAAGUGAUGGUGGCUACGAACAUCAAUCCUAUGUUUGUAGGAGUGCUACCUCUGCAACUCAUUUUUAUUUUGACAAUGAGGUGGCAGCAAACAAGACUCUAUUUAAGCAGUUGUCUUCCAAGCUCGAGAAUGACUCAACAAGUGGAAAUCAAUAUCGUGGUGUGAAGAAGCUGGAACCAGUUUUGCUUGGGGAGAUAAACAACUAUGUCCUGAAUUCACCCCUCAAUCCAACGCAGUCCAUCGAAUUCCUAUGCAAAGCCAUAAUUGGGGGGUUGGAGACUACCAACUAAUGGUGUUAUAUGUUAUGGCUAAGUGUUCCAAGAAGCUCCAACGAGGAAUAUCCUCUUUCACUUGCACAACAUAUUUUAAUGUCAGGCUGUUGGGGUUGUCAGGUUAUCUUUGCUCAUGGUUUUAGAUCAUCUUCAACUACAUAUAAACAUCUAUUUUUUGUACUUACUCAAUGUCUGGUUUUAAAACGUGAAUGGUUUUAAGUACCGUGUUGAGAUGCUGGUGGAGUCGGGUGAAGAUACAGAUGUGUUUGUUGCAUUCGACUCAGUUAUGUCUAACCUGACAGGUGUCAGGGCUGCAGAGGUUGCAAAUCCUAUGGGACAAGGAGAACAAGAUCCAAUAGGCUAUCAGCUCCCUCAGUUUCUCCAAGACAUUGUUGGGAAUACAUACAUAUUCCAUCUGAAGCUCACUGAAUUUAAUUUCUCUGGUAACCAUAAGUCCUUCACUGUUGCCAGAAUCUUUGAUCCCAAUGAUAGGAUACCAGGCCUUUCUUUCGCACCACAUGUAAGUCAGCAAAACUUAUAUGUUUACAUGACUCCAUAUUUACCAAGAUACUAAUAGGCAAUACCGUUGCUCUAAAGGGGGGGGGGGGGGAACCCUGAUGGUGAUAUGCAUGGAAAUAAAUGUGCUUCUUACAAGUUCCAUGUCGGUGGCUCCUCCGGCGUUAAUCCCAGUGAAGGAGGUGAGGAACUCAAGGAACUACAUGCUCCUGAGGAAACAAUAGCAAGCAGUGAGCAGCAGGAAACCAUUUCUGAGAAUGUUCAUGACAACAAACCAGGUUCACCUGAAGGGAAUCCACCGAAGAAGGCGCGAAAUGCGUAGAUCUUGAGUCAUUAGAUAUGAGGAACUAAGAAAUGUGUGGGCAUACGAUUUGUCUUUGGUACCUUAGUCUAUGUUAGGACAGUUGGUCCAUUAUCUAAUUUUAGUUUAAGUCAUUGUUUUUUCCCUGUUUCGUUGUUGUUUUUUCCAAUUUUCUUGACAUUUGAGGUUUUUAAUAUUUACUCUUGCGUUUUUUC